rnacentral:rRNA from 1 species
AUUGAACGCUGGCGGCAUGCCUUACACAUGCAAGUCGAACGGUAACAGGUUAAGCUGACGAGUGGCGAACGGGUGAGUAAUGUAUCGGAACGUGCCCAGUCGUGGGGGAUAACUACUCGAAAGAGUGGCUAAUACCGCAUACGACCUGAGGGUGAAAGCGGGGGACCGUAAGGCCUCGCGCGAUUGGAGCGGCCGAUAUCAGAUUAGCUAGUUGGUGGGGUAAAAGCCCACCAAGGCGACGAUCUGUAGCUGGUCUGAGAGGACGACCAGCCACACUGGGACUGCGACACGGCCGAGACUCGUCCGGAAGGCAGCAGUGGGGAAUUUUGGACAAUGGACGCAAGUCUGAUCCAGCCAUGCCGCGUGCGGGAAGAAGGCCUUCGGGUUGUAAACCGCUUUUGUCAGGGAAGAAACGAGUUUCUCUAAUACAGAGACUUAAUGACGGUACCUGAAGAAUAAGCACCGGCUAACUACGUGCCAGCCGCCGCGGUAACAC